rnacentral:rRNA from 1 species
AACGAACGCUGGCGGCAUGCCUAACACAUGCAAGUCGAACGAAACCUUCGGGUCUAGUGGCGCCCGGGUGCGUAACGCGUGGGAACCUGCCCUCAGGUUCGGAAUAACUCCCCGAAAGGGGUGCUAAUACCGGAUCAUGUCUUCGGACCAAAGAUUUAUCGCCUUUGGAUGUGCCCGCGUUGGAUUCGCUAGUUGGUAGGGUAAAAGCCUACCACGGCGACGAUCCAUAGCUGGUCUGAGAGAAUGAUCAGCCACACUGGGACUGAGACACGGCCCAGACUCCUACGGGAGGCGGCAGUGGGGAAUAUUGGAAAAUGGGCGAAGGCCUGAUCCAGCAAGGCCGCGUGAGUGAUGAAGGCCUUAGGGUUGUAAAGCUCUUUUACCCGGGAUGAUAAUGACAGUACCGGGAGAAUAAGCUCCGGCUAACUCCGUG